AGUGCUUCAGGAAAUGGGGCCUUUGGAAUGUGGGUUGUGGCAGAUGGUGGACUAGCUGAAGAAGGUUUUGGAUUUUCAUGUGAUACAUUCCUCUCCUCUUCUUCACCUUUCUUAUUGUUACCCUUCCCAACCUUAUUAUCUAUUACACGUCCACUGCUAAGGGUAGUCAAAGCAUUGGCUUGCUCAUGAUUUAGUCGAGUUUCUUGAGCCACGUAUUGUCCCCUUGGAUUACUCAUUGGUUGACUUGGAAGCUUGCCUUCCUCUCGCUUGUUUAAUGCA
rnacentral:lncRNA from 1 species